CCCUGCCCUUUGUACACACCGCC
rnacentral:ncRNA from 4 species